rnacentral:rRNA from 1 species
UACGAAGGGGGCUAGCGUUGCUCGGAAUCACUGGGCGUAAAGGGUGCGUAGGCGGGUCUUUAAGUCAGGGGUGAAAUCCUGGAGCUCAACUCCAGAACUGCCUUUGAUACUGAAGAUCUUGAGUUCGGGAGAGGUGAGUGGAACUGCGAGUGUAGAGGUGAAAUCGUAGAUAUUGGGAGGAACACCAGUGGCGUAAGCGGCCAACUAGACGAGUACUGACGCUCAAGCACGAAAGCGUGGGGAUCAAACAGG